UACGUAGGGUGCGAGCGUUAAUCGGAAUUACUGGGCGUAAAGCGUGCGCAGGCGGUUUGUUAAGUCCGCUGUGAAAUCCCCGGGCUCAACCUGGGAAUGGCGGUGGAAACUGGCGAGCUAGAGUGUGUCAGAGGGAUGCGGAAUUCCAGGUGUAGCGGUGAAAUGCGUAGAUAUCUGGAGGAACACCGGUGGCGAAGGCGGCAUCCUGGACCAACACUGACGCUGAGUGAGCGAAAGCCAGGGGAGCAAACGGG
rnacentral:rRNA from 1 species